rnacentral:rRNA from 1 species
CCAGGACCAAGGUCAGCAGCAGGCGCGAAAAUUAUCGAAGCCCGCGUAGGGGCGAUAGUGAGGAGACGUGUAUUACGAAGUGUGUGUAAAGAACGCACUAAUAACUGGAGGUCAAGUCUGGUGCCAGCAUCCGCGGUAAUUCCAGCUCCAGGGGUGUCUAUGAUGAUUGCUGCGAUUAAAAAGUCCGUAGUCAAGCUGACUGACUUGCCUGCAAUGUGAGUGAUUAAGAGACGAGCAGGGGUAGGAAAGCAGAGAAUUAGGAGCGACCGAGGGCUAGAGUAUUGAAUGGCGAGAGGUGAAAUUUGAUGACCCAUUCAGGAGUGACAAAGGCGAAGGCACUAGUCAAGGGCGAAUCCGAUGAUCAAGGACGUAGGCUAGAGUUUCGAAAACGAUUAGAGACCGGAGUAGUUCUAGCAGUAAACUAUGCCGACGCCGUGGUGUGGUAUUCUGUAUUGCGGAAGAGAAAUCAAGUAAGGCUUUGGGGAGAGUACGCGCGCAAGCGAUAAAUU